AUUGAACGCUGGCGGCAUGCCUUACACAUGCAAGUCGAACGGCAGCACGGGAGCAAUCCUGGUGGCGAGUGGCGAACGGGUGAGUAAUAUAUCGGAACGUGCCCAGUCGUGGGGAUAACGUAGCGAAAGCUACGCUAAUACCGCAUACGAUCUAUGGAUGAAAGCGGGGGAUCGCAAGACCUCGCGCGAUUGGAGCGGCCGAUAUCAGAUUAGGUAGUUGGUGAGGUAAAGGCUCACCAAGCCGACGAUCUGUAGCUGGUCUGAGAGGACGACCAGCCACACUGGGACUGAGACACGGCCCAGACUCCUACGGGAGGCAGCAGUGGGGAAUUUUGGACAAUGGGCGCAAGCCUGAUCCAGCCAUGCCGCGUGUGUGAAGAAGGCCUGGUGU
rnacentral:rRNA from 1 species